GUGGGAAAGAGCAAAGAAGAAAGAUGGGGAUCAAACUCGGCCACAAGAAAAACAUAGAGUCGAGAAGAAUCAGACAAAGUGGCCAGCAAGGGAUUUUCAUUUGAAGACAAAGAGUUACUCGAGCAGCAGAUGCAUGACAUGGCUGUAGUGAUUGAGAAAUUGGAAAGCAGUAGACAAAAGCUUUUAAUGGAGAUUGAUUCCCAAUCUUCGGAGAUAGAAAGGCUUUUUGAGGAGAACUCUAAUUUAUCUAGUUCUCAUCAGGAGGCUAUGAGCAUAGCUGUGCACUGGGAGAAUCAGGUGAAAGACUGUCUUAAGCAAAAUGAAGAGCUCCGAGGAAUCUUAGAUAAGGAUUAACUUGCAAUAGAACAGAGUAAAGCAGAGGCAUUAUCGGCUGAGUAUUACAGCUCUCAGCAAGACUCCAACAGACCACUCAAGCAUACAAUAGGCUCGCACGCCU